AUGAGUGGCAGACGGGUGAGUAACGCGUGAGCAACCUACCUCUUACAAAGGGAUAGCCUCGGGAAACCGGGAUUAAUACCAUAUAACAUUGCGACGAAGCAUUUCGAUGCAAUCAAAGCUACGGCGGUAAGAGAUGGGCUCGCGUCCCAUUAACCAGAUGGUGAGGUAACGGCUCACCAUAGUAACGAUGGGUAACCGGCCUGAGAGGGUGAACGGUCACACUGGAACUGAGACACGGUCCAGACUCC
rnacentral:rRNA from 1 species